CGGCAAGUCACUGUCACGCUUUGCCGAUAUCAUUGCCCUUUGUGUUCAGCCGGAGCCUGAAUUCCGACCUCCCAUGUCUGAGGUUGUGCAAGCACUGGUCCGGCUAGUGCAAAGAGCAAGUGUGGUCAAACGCCGCCCCAGUGACGAAUCUGGGUUUGGUCACAAGACCCCAGAUCAUGAAUCCUUUGACAUGUCAUUUUAAAGAACACAGGAAGGAAUAGAGAAGUUGUGAAGAUGUUUCAAACAGAUCCAAGAUAUUUGUAAUUACAUGCAUUGGAAUUUUAUUAUUA